rnacentral:rRNA from 1 species
CAGCACCUCAAGUGGUCAGGAUGAUUAUUGGGCCUAAAGCAUCCGUAGCCGGCUCUGUAAGUUUUCGGUUAAAUCUGUAUGCUCAACAUACAGGCUGCCGGGAAUACUGCAGAGCUAGGGAGUGGGAGAGGUAGACGGUACUCGGUAGGAAGGGGUAAAAUCCUUUGAUCUAUUGAUGACCACCUGUGGCGAAGGCGGUCUACAAGAACACGUCCGACGGUGAGGGAUGAAAGCUGGGGGAGCAAACCGGAUUAGAUACCCGAGUAGUCC